rnacentral:rRNA from 1 species
AAGGGCACCACAAGAACGCGUGGAGCAUGUGGCUUAAUUUGACUCAACGCGGGAAAUCUUACCGGGUCCGGACACACUGAGGAUUGACAGGCAAUCAUGUGAAUUGUUUUUUUUUUUUAAAUUACAUUCMCAUAUAAAUAUGCUAGYCCUUUCAUGAUUAUGKGAUAGGUGGUGCAUGGCCGUUCUUAGUUCGUGGAGUGAUCUGUCUGCUUAAUUGCGUUUCAUACNGGACUUARAAAUCAAGUGUGUUUAUUUUUCUUGUGUGUUUUUUUAUUUUUAUAAUUUAUUAUAUUUAUAAAUUUGCAUGCUAUUUAUUGAAUAAAUAGAUACACAUCUAGUCCUGAAAGCAACGAACGUGACCGCAUCCUCUUGUUGCCUUUUAACUUAAGAUUUUUAUUUUUUUUUUAUUAAAAAUUUAAAAUAUUUUAUAACAUAAGAGUGCUUUAUAAAAACUAGAGGGACCGCUGUGACUUUUUAAACCAGAGGAAGGUUGCGGCAAUAACAGGUCUGUGAUGCCCUUAGAUGUUCCGGGCUGCACACGUGCUACAAUGAUUAUUGCAGUGAGCAUCUCAUUUAUAGCACUGGUUUCAUUUUAUUUUUUUAAAAUGACUUCAGUCAAAAGCCUGCUUCGAAAGUUCGCAGGUAAUCAAUUGGAAGUAAUGAUUUCCCUUAACUCGAAUUUAUUUUUGAUUUUGUGAGCACACAAUAUGCUGCUCCCCUCCCUGGAAUUUAGCUAUUUUUUGUCUAUUUUCCAUUGUGUGUGGGGAUGUUUCAGCAUGUGCUUUUUGUCAAUUCAUGGUGGGACAGACCAUUGUUAAUUGUUGGUCUCUAACUAGGAAUGCCUUGUACGGGUCUUUGGUUCAACAAACCACCCGGAAUACGUCCCUGCCCUUUGUACGCACCGCCCGUCGCUCUUACCGAUGGACUUCUCUGUGAGUUUGAGGGACUGGGUACCUUAGCUUUCUUUUUUUUAAGAAAACUAUAAUCACCUAUGGAAACUUAAACGAACAGUGUGGUCUAAAGGAAAGAGAAGUCG